rnacentral:rRNA from 1 species
UGUGGUUUAAUUCGAAGAUACACGAAGAACCUUACCUGGCCUUGACAUGGUAGGAACCCUGUAGAGAUACGGGGGUACUAGCUUGCUAGAGCCUACACACGGGUGCUGCACGGCUGUCGUCAGCUCGUGUCGUGAGAUGUUGGGUUAAGUCCCGCAACGAGCGCAACCCUCGUCCUUAGUUGCUAACGGUUCGGCCGAGCACUCUAGGGAGACUGCCUUCGCAAGGAGGAGGAAGGUGAGGACGACGUCAAGUCAUCAUGGCCCUUACGGCCAGGGCUACACACGUGCUACAAUGGGGCGUACAGAGAGCUGCGAUACCGCGAGGUGGAGCCAAUCUCUUAAAGCGUCUCUCAGUUCGGAUUGUUCUCUGCAACUCGAGAACAUGAAGCUGGAAUCACUAGUAAUCGCAGAUCAGCUAUGCUGCGGUGAAUACGUUCCCGGGUCUU